AUGGGCAACCUUUUUCUAUAUGUUGCUCGUGAGCCGCCAAGUACCAGUCUCGCAACAGUACUGGCGUUAAAGGAUCGAUCCUUCACUUGCGGAUCGUUCGCGAGUCGAACUCGCUCUCUUGCCACGCCUUUGACUCACGAACUCGAGUCGGACUCAUUCACUGCUGACUUUUUUUAG
rnacentral:rRNA from 1 species